CCCUUAGAUGUCCGGGGCCGCACGCGCGCUACACUGAAGGAAUCAGCGUGGCUUUCUCCCUGACCCGAAAGGGUUGGGAAACCCGUUGAAUCUCCUUCGUGAUAGGGAUUGGGGCUUGAAAUUGUUCCCCAUGAACGAGGAAUUCCCAGUAAGCGCGAGUCAUAAGCUCGCGUUGAUUACGUCCCUGCCCUUUGUACACACCGCCCGUCACUAUUUCAGAUGAUUAUAGGGAUGAAGAGCUUAGGCUCUGAAUACCUGUAGUUAGAUAAAGUACAAGUCGUAACA
rnacentral:rRNA from 1 species